CCAAGAAUAAUUUUUGUACUACUUCAUAAAAUAGAUAAUGGAGAGAAAUAAAUUGCUAAAUAUCGGAUAUUCAGUAAAAACUUCAAAUACAGAGAGAAAUAUCAACGCAAUUUAGAGUAAUGCUCUUCAAAAUGAAGUUCGAUAUGUUUAAAGGAUUAUAACACGGGUUCGAAUCGACUCAUAUAUUAUAUAACGUAAUAUAAUCAAUGUACUUGAUUGAAGACGUUUCUGGUUUUAAAAG